GAGGGUAUAGCUCAGAGACAGAGUGCGUGCCUAACAAGCAUGAGGUCCUGGGUUCAAUCCCCAGUACCCACA
rnacentral:tRNA from 1 species